GGAGUCUAGCAUGUGCGCGAGUCAUUGGGACUAGCGAAACCUAAAGGCGAAAUGAAAGUGAAGGCGUGCCUUGCGCGCGCCGAGGGAGGAUAGGUCGCGCUCGUCGCGGCCUCGCACUCCCGGGGCGUUUCGUUCUCAUCGCGAGAAGAGGCGCACCCAGAGCGUACACGCUGGGACCCGAAAGAUGGUGAACUAUGCCUGGUCAGGACGAAGUCAGGGGAAACCCUGAUGGAGGUCCGUAGCGAUUCUGACGUGCAAAUCGAUCGUCGGAACUGGGUAUAGGGGCGAAAGACUAAUCGAACCAUCUAGUAGCUGGUUCCCUCCGAAGUUUCCCUCAGGAUAGCUGGCGCUCGCUUUGCGAGUCUCAUCCGGUAAAGCGAAUGAUUAGAGGCAUUGGGGUCGAAACGGCCUCAACCUAUUCUCAAACUUUAAAUGGGUGAGAACUCCGGCUUGCUUAAACGGUGAAGCCGCGAGUUUUUAUAAGGAUCAGAGUGCCAAGUGGGCCACUUUUGGUAAGCAGAACUGGCGCUGUGGGAUGAACCAAACGCAGAGUUAAAGCGCCCAAAUCGACGCUUAUGGGAUACCAUGAAAGGCGUUGGUAACUUAAGACAGCAGGACGGUGGCCAUGGAA
rnacentral:rRNA from 2 species